rnacentral:rRNA from 1 species
GACGAACGCUGGCGGCGCGCUUAACACAUGCAAGUCGAACGGUAAGGCCUUUCGGGGUACACGAGUGGCGAACGGGUGAGUAACACGUGGGUGAUCUGCCCUGCACUUCGGGAUAAGCCCGGGAAACUGGGUCUAAUACCGGAUAGGACUGCGCGGUGCAUGCCGUGUGGUGGAAAGAUUUAUCGGUGCAGGAUGGGCCCGCGGCCUAUCAGCUUGUUGGUGGGGUAAUGGCCUACCAAGGCGACGACGGGUAGCCGGCCUGAGGGGGCGACCGGCCACAUGGGGACGGGACCACGGCCCGGACCCCUCCGGGGGGAAGGGGGGGGGAAUUUUGCACAAUGGGCCAAACCCGGAGGAAGCGCCGCGGGGUGGGGGAUGCGGGCCUUCGGGUUGUAACCCUUUUUCAGCGGGGACGAAGCGUGGGUGGCGGUCCCGGCAGAAGAAGCCCCGGCCACCUCCGG